ACUAACACCAUCACCUUUGGGGGUUAGGGCUUCAGCAUACCAAUUUUGGGGGGACACAAACAUUCAGAUCACAGCACACGCCAAAUAUUUUUCACUUGGAAUUUCCUUCUCCUCCCCUUGGAGAUUGUCCCCCUCCCCCUAAAUUCUCUUUGACUGAAUACCAGCUUCCCCUACUAUGUACAUGUGUUUGUGUUCAUUUUGGGGAACUCGGCUCAAGGUAGUAUUUGAAUACGUAAAGGAGCUGCUCCCUCUUCGUGAUGGCCAUCAGUAGGCUCCACAUCUUUUAUGUAAGUACAGAGACAACUAAGCACAUUUGCAGAAAUCCAGCAUAUGCCUUGGGUAGGAGUUUGGUCACAUCAAGAAGGACCAUGAGGAGUUUGCAAGGGUCCAUGAUUUAGAAGGUAAAGAUGUGAUGGCCUUGGACAAGGUAGUUUGCUUGUCUUAGAGUGGGAUGUGGGUGGGUAGAGAGUGAAGGGGACACAGUUCAGACUAUUGGGUAGAAAGGAAGCUAUGGAGCUACGGUAGCUACGGAGCCUGGUGCAGAGAAUGAGGCUCCCACUGAAGGGUGGCCAGACUUAGCCUUGGCUGCCAGAAUAUCCUCAAGGCCCUCUGAAAUGUUCUGAAAACAGCUAAUUCAUUUGGAAGAAGAAAAGGUUGGAGUCCACAAACAUAUAUAAGAAACAUGAUAACAUGGCAGAACGUUAAGUUUUAUGGCCAACACAGUAGGUCCCAUCACAAGACAGUGUGAGGUUUUGGCAGCAGCCUCAAAGUUUAGGGACCACCCAAACCUUCCCUUCCAGGACACAGAGCUCCAGGCCUGGCUUACAGGGCCUCCUUCUGAGGCUACUCCAUUUCUUGCUUCUAUUCUGGAUGAGAGAGACAUUUCACAGCAAGAUGUCAACUCGCAGAGGCUUCCUUCCUGGUGGUGGAGAAGAUGAGAACAGCAUGGGCUCAGCAGGGCAGCAAGGUCUGUUGCAAGCUUGCCCAAGAACAUGGAAUUGUAGGAGCAUAGCCAAAGAGGGUAUGGCCAGGCUGUGCUCUGGAAGUGGUUCCCAUAAGUCUUUCCAUCUGUGUUAACUUGCCCACUUUCUCAUUAUGUGGUCUGAUGGGGUCAGCAUCCUGGGUCCAUACUAACUCUAGUCCGUUCCGAGCGUUAGCCUAGAGUGACCAGUAUCGAGUCAGUGACUGGCUACUUUCCUCUGCAUAUCCCGUGUGUGUGCCUUCACCUACAGCCAGAUGGAGGCUGGGAGCGAAGAGAAGCUGCUUCUAGGUCCCUCCAGCUGGUGAGGUCUAGAGCACUGAAUGGUUAGACUGUGUUCAAUGGCUUACUGCAAAGUCAGGCAUCUUCUGUGUUGUGGGUAGAGGUGGGUAGAGGACAAUAUGGGGAAGAGACUAGCACUCUCUGCCCGUGGAAUUUUCCAGUUUGAGAGGAUGCCUCAAUGGACCCCAUGUCCUCUGCCACCUUUCAACAUCUAAUGGAGAAGGCAGUUGGGAAAAUGAACUAUCGGGAGGUGCUGGUGUUCUCUGACAAAUUAUUACAUUUAGAAGGGUUUUAGGGGAGCAUAACUAAUGGCGCCUUAACCAGGUACUGGACCGUCCCACAGGGGUAUGUUUGAAACUAGCUUUUGAUGUGUAGUAAUUUUGUGGCCCUUCCAUGAGUGAUGCAGGACACCAUAUAUGCUAACAAAGGGAAUCAGAUCCAGAAUCUACUUCUGCUCUGUGCACAGGCCUGUCCUACCAACCAUGGGGAACUAAGUGGGGUAUGAGGGCUCAGUGGGUAUUACCAAAGAUCAUCGCUAACCCGCCCAGUGACUUCACCUAUGGCCUGAGGUAGCUGCAAGAAUGGACGAAGGAAUGGGCAGGUCCACAGCUUGCCUGAACCAUGGGGAGCACUGGGAACUGAGACACAGCGUUUGGGAAGUUUGUGGACCACAUAGUCAAAGUGCCAGCACUGACUUAAACCAAAGGGCCUUUUGUAUGACACAUAGAAACAUGUUUUGAGCAGUGGGAGUUGAGUGUCUAGAGGACCUUCAGAGAAGGAAUUGCGUUGCAAUGGCUGGUUGGAGUCUGAAAGCAAAAUCGAUCGCCUCACUAGUCUUAACCACAGUUCUCACAGAGAAGUAUAGGAUUAUGUGUGUGAAGAACUUUUCAAGAGUGGAUUGAUACUAACAUUUUUACCUAUGUAUCAACCAGGGUGAAAUUGGAUGCUGCCUUGAAACCUGUUGAGAGACCACAAUUUCAGGCUCUCGUACCAGCCUGGGCUUAGCAGUAGAGAUGCUGAUGCUAUUGCAGGCAGCCAAGCUAACACAAUCAUCCCAGGGAGAGAGAAGUCAUAUAAGAGCAACUCUCUCCUGGCUCAAAGUCUGGGGCUCCCUCUGGGGCUCUUUGUAUGCAGUCUCUUCACCAGAAUGGGACUGAAGAUAGAAGCGAGGGGAUCCAGAGCUACAGAGAGAGCUGAGGGAAGGAGCUAGCAGAGAAGACGCUUGUUUCUUCUACAGGCCCGAGGAUUCUGGUGCUGGCAGAAACAGUCACCAGGUAAUGGGAGAUAAACCCAGGUAUAACAGUGUCCUGACUCAGAACCAGCUGAUUUUGUCAACUUAUGAAUUCUAUUCGUCCUAAUGCCAAGGUGAAGCAAACCAGAAACAAAAAUGAGAAGAACAGAGAAAAACAACAACAUUUAUUUAUUCAACAAAGAUUUAUGAAGCAUUUACUACACGCCAGGUCCCAUUCUAGGCCCUGGGGAUAUGGGAUUGAACAAAGAGACAAAAAUCCCUGUCUUCUUGGAGCCAACAUUCUAGUGGGAAGAGAUGGACUGAUAAACAAAUGAACUAGUAAAGAUGUAGUAUGUCCAGUGGUGGUAAACGCUAUGGAGCAAUCAUCGCUACCUCUUAGAGAGAACUUCUAUGUGUCAGGCAGUGUUGGAAGCACUUUACAAAUGUAAAGCUAUUCUGCCCUCCCAUAACCCUAUUAUUAUCAAAUCCCCAUUUUAAGGAUGAAAAAACUGAGGCCUCAGGAGAUGGAUGUAACCAGCCCAAGGUCAUGCAUCUGGGAAGCAGAAGAGCCAAGGUUCCCACCAGGCAGUAUGGCCCCAGAGUCCAUGUUCUCUGUCAUCUCUGUAUUGCCGAGGGAAGGGGGAAGGAGUGCUGGGGAGGGUCGGGGUGGGAGUGGCGAUUUUAAAUAGGGACAUCAUGGAAAGCCUCACUGAGAAGGUGACAUCUGAGCAAAACCCUGCAAAGAGGUGAGGAUGGCAGACAGGAGUUUCUCUGGGCGGAGAGCAUUCAACAGCAAAAGCCCAAGGCAGGAGGGAGAGAGGAAGAAUGAGGCCCGAGGGGCUGGCCCAGCUGGAGCCAAGUGACCAAGGGGGGCACCAGCAGGUGAUGAGGCAGAGGUCCCUGGCCAGACUGCAGAGGACUCCGAAAAGCUUAGAGGGGCUGUGGCUUUUAGUCUGGCAAGUCUGAAGGGAGGAGCCACAUGGCCUGAUUUUUAUAUUGAAAUCAUUACUCUUCUUAUUGUGUUGGGAAUAGACUAAGAAGUUCCGGGGUAGAAAGAGGGAAAGCAUUUAGAGGAUUGUUGAAUUCCUACAACCCAACAGCCGCCUCUCCUGUCACUGGGCAAUGGGGAUCAGCAGCCUGACCGUCCUACCUGGAGUCGCUCUGAAGUCUGUGUGAAUGUGUCCCCUGCGGACUGGCUGGAAAGGAUGGGGUAGAUUCUGGUCAAUGACGAAAUACGAGUUUCCGUUCUUGGCUGCCUUGUGCUCACGAAAUAUUAAUGAUUCAUGUUCUUGUUGACUUGUGUACAAGCUAUUCACGCAUACCUCAUCUCACUUAUUUCCCCCAGGGUUCUGAUUCAUUCUCCUUUCUUCAACUGAUACUUCUGUGGGGAUCACUUUGAACUCCCUAACUCCACCCAUACUUCUGGAACUUCCAAGAGUGUAAUUUAUGAUUCCCUCUUUCCUGUUCCACCAAACUCAGCUCCGCAGCUUCCCCUCCCACACCAGCUCUUCCUCUUUACUGCCCUAUAUCUUGACCAUCAGUUCCCUUGGUUCAGAUUUUUAGUUGUAACUCAAUCCUUUGUUUUUCGCUUUCCUCCAAAUAAUUCUGAUUCCUAUAAAUUAUGCCUCUGAGACACCUUUUCUUCACAUUUCCACGGCCACCAUCUUUGUUCCAAUUUCUCUUCCUCUGGACAACUCACAAUCUGGUGAAUUCCAAAUUCACCCCUCACUAUAGGCUCCUGUGAGCUUAAUGUUGUCCAAGGUGAGCUGUGAUCUUUGCUUCAAAAUCUUCCACAGUUUCUCAUUGCCUGGUGUACCAGAUACAAAUGCCCCCAGCUUAGCAGUCAAUACCUUCCACAAUACAUCAAAAUCUGCCUCCAGCUUUAUUAUUCCCUUGUAUAACGUGUACAUAUCUAACACUCCAAGGCAGACGACUUGUGAACUUUCCACCAUAUCCUGCACCUUCCUGCCUCAGGCUCUAGAGUCCCAUUUAUCCUCUCCCAGUUUUCUCCAAUACCUUCUCCACGAAGACUUUAUUUCCCCAAACUGGAAGCAAUUUCUCUCUCCUCUAAAAUGCCAUAUUUCUCUUAAGCAUUUGCAGUACAGACGUGUAUAUUUGUCCCAUUAUAUGACUUAUGACCUUGAAAGCAGAAAGUUGAAGGGGUUCUUGAAUUUCUUCAAGUAUCUAGCAGGCAGUACUCUAGGUGCUAGGUGCUAGGUGCUCAUGUAUUCACGACUUUCUUUAUUCCACAAACACCAAAAGCCAAGCAUUGUUCUAGGCACCGAGGACACAAAGGUAAUAAGAUACCGUUUCCCUCUUUAAUAUGCUUAUUAGGGAUUCAACACAACAUGAAAUAAUUUGCAAAUGACAGGAGUGGUAAUCUGACCAUCCUCAGCUAACAAUUAGGUUUCAUUAUACCUUCUAAUCCUGCCCUCACGAAUCAAGGUAAUUACUUGGCAAUCUGGCUAGGUCUUGUAAGGCAGAAGAGCUGUUCAUGUCCUGUGUCAAAUGGUGAGCAAGGAGGGAGAGGAAAAGGGUAAAUUACCUUGCCUCCCAUCUGUGCCCAGUCAGCUCUAAAUCUCCAGGAAAGAUGCACUCAGGAUUGCCAAAGAAAGAUCCUUCCAGCUGUGCAUCUAAAAGUAGGAUUUUGUGCAGUCAAGAAGGGGCUGGCUACAGUAAGUGUGUAAGCACACCUGAAACUCGGCGUUGAGCCUUCAUGUUUGGGAGAGAGUGGGUGCACUUCUAAUGGAUUUAAAAGGUUACCUUACCUCCCCCAAUUGUACACAGAGCAGGCUGAGCUGGGCUCUGAUGGUCUGACCGUGGCAUGUGUUGCACAUCUUAAAGAUGGCCUGUGAAAUGGAAAACACCUCUGCUUGUUCAAGCUCCAGUGCCAUUCUGGUGUCUUACCAGACAAUGCAACAAUGUCAAACCUGCUGAGAUUUCAAAAUUGUUCUCAGCAGAGGAGAGACUCAAAGAUGGGACAAAUGAGUUAAGUGCCCCUUAAAACUGCAAAUAAACAAAAUGGGUGGAGGGUAGCCAGCGUAUUGUAGUAAUUAGGAGUGUAGCCUCUGGAGUGGGUCUGCUUGAGUUGGAAUCCCAACUCUACAACUGACCAGUUGUGUGAUUUUGGACGAAUCUCUUAACCUCUCUAUGCCUCAGCUCUUAAUGAAAAUACCAACAGUCCUUAGAAGUGUUCUUGUGAGUAUUAAGUGAGUUAGUAUUUAUUAGAUACUUGGGAUAGUGUCUGGCAAUAAUUAGCAACACAUAAGUGAUUUUUAAAUUAAAUAUUUUUUAACACUAACCUUUUUUUACCUUCAUCUUUUUAAAAAAAGAAAAUAGGGCAUGUAGGCCCAUCAGUAACCUCACAAAGCACAGGAACCCCUUUAUGACUUCAUCAUUAUUUGGAGCCAACUCUUGAUUUCCAGCAGUCUACUGAGCAGUAUUAUCAUUCAUAGGAAAAGAAAAUGGGUGUUAUUGCUUCUUUCUACUUUAAAAAAGUCAACUACAAUGCACAUGUAUAGCCAAGACAGGAGAGACCCCAGUGAGAGUGGAAGAGGAAGAGAAAAGAGUGAAGUGUGUGACACCAUGACAUUCCCAAACUGGAAACUGGGCCAUCGUUUGGAUUGCUUUCUCCUUCAUCACCUGAGUUUGAGCAGGCCAUCUGGUUAAAACCAGCUGGUUGAAUCUCCACUUCAAGAUACACCAUAUUCCUUCGUCUUUGCUUUAUUACUGCUGUUUCUUUUCCAAGAAGAUCUACAUCCUCCAUUGUGAUAUUUUUGUAAUUGCCAUACAAAAAUUGUUCUCUCUCUCCUCUAAGCUUAAAUAUUUGGUCAAUUUAUAUGGUACUUAAUGUAUUCAAUAAAAAUGUUUUCAGCUCAUCAUGUGACAGACUUUGUGCGAAACACUGGGAUCUAAGAAGAACAUGCUUUCUCCUCCUAUAAUUCUGAUUUCCAC